GUUGUUCACCAAAGCAUGCAAUUCUAUGGGAGGGAACGAAAUUGUCCUUUUUCAUCGUAAAAAAAAAACAAUAACAACAACAACAACAAUUUCAACUCUCGAAUGUAUACAUCAGCGUUACGAUGAAUCGUUGGGUACAAGCGCACAGAGGAAAUCUCUACAAAUUACGGGAUUUGAACUUGCCAUGAAACAAGGACCAACUCGACCUUAUAAUGAAGAAUGAAUGAAGAAAGAAAAAAAAUGUACAGCCGAUCGCUCUUUCUUGCCGUUCGAUGCUUAAAAGGUUUCACAUACUCAGCCCUUCGUCCCUGAGGGUGUCCUCGACCGCUCGCGCAAACUCCCGCCGGC